GAUGAAGAACGCAGCGAAAUGCGAUAAGUAAUGUGAAUUGCAGAAUUCAGUGAAUCAUCGAAUCUUUGAACGCACAUUGCGCCCGCUGGUAUUCCGGGGGGCAUGCCUGUUCGAGCGUCAUUAUAACCACUCAAGCUCUCGCUUGGUAUUGGGGCUCGCGGUUCCGCGGCCCCUAAAAUCAGUGGCGGUGCCUGUCGGCUCUACGCGUAGUAAUACUCCUCGCGAUUGAGUCCGGUAGGUCUACUUGCCAGCAACCCCCAAUUUUUACAGGUUGACCUCGGAUCAGGUAGGGAUACCCGCUGAACUUAAGCAUAUCAAUAAGCGGAGGA
rnacentral:misc_RNA from 1 species